rnacentral:rRNA from 1 species
UACGAAGGGGGCUAGCGUUGCUCGGAAUCACUGGGCGUAAAGGGCGCGUAGGCGGCCGAUCAAGUCAGGGGUGAAAGCCUGUGGCUCAACCACAGAAUUGCCUUUGAUACUGUUCGGCUCGAGACCGGAAGAGGUAAGUGGAACUGCGAGUGUAGAGGUGAAAUUCGUAGAUAUUCGCAAGAACACCAGUGGCGAAGGCGGUUCUCUGGGCCUGUACUGACGCUGAGGAGCGAAAGCGUGGGGAGCGAACAGG